rnacentral:rRNA from 1 species
AUUGAACGCUGGCGGCAGGCUUAACACAUGCAAGUCGAGCGGAGAUGAGGUGCUUGCACCUUAUCUUAGCGGCGGACGGGUGAGUAAUGCUUAGGAAUCUGCCUAUUAGUGGGGGACAACAUUCCGAAAGGAAUGCUAAUACCGCAUACGUCCUACGGGAGAAAGCAGGGGAUCUUCGGACCUUGCGCUAAUAGAUGAGCCUAAGUCGGAUUAGCUAGUUGGUGGGGUAAAGGCCUACCAAGGCGACGAUCUGUAGCGGGUCUGAGAGGAUGAUCCGCCACACUGGGACUGAGACACGGCCCAGACUCCUACGGGAGGCAGCAGUGGGGAAUAUUGGACAAUGGGCGGAAGCCUGAUCCAGCCAUGCCGCGUGUGUGAAGAAGGCCUUUUGGUUGUAAGGCACUUUAAGCGAGGAGGAGGCUACCUAGAUUAAUACUCUGGGAUAGUGGACGUUACUCGCAGAAUAAGCACCGGCUAACUCUGUGCCAGCAGCCGCGGUAACAC